rnacentral:rRNA from 1 species
UACGUAGGGGGCAAGCGUUUGUCCGGAAUCAUUGGGCGUAAAGCGCGCGUAGGCGGCCCGGUAAGUCCGCUGUGAAAGUCCAGGGCUCAACCCUGGAAAGCCGGUGGAUACUGCCGGGCUAGAGUCCGGAAGAGGCGAGUGGAAUUCCUGGUGUAGCGGUGGAAAUGCGCAGAUAUCAGGAGGAACACCAAUAGCGAAGGCAGCUCGCUGGGACGGUACUGACGCUGAGGUGCGAAAGCGUGGGGAGCGAACGG